AUGUGCUCAGGGGCUGUGCGGGGCGACUCGAUUGAACCCGAAGGGACUCAGGUGUCUGCAGCAGAAGGAGACAACGUGACACUGCGCUGUAACUACAAAACCAGCAACAAUUAUGCCUACUAUCUGUACUGGUACCGCCACUACCCGGACCGAGCCCUGCAGUUCAUUCUCUACCGAGGAAUAAGGACCGCCAGCUCGACCAGCAACGCUGCCGAUUUUGCCCAAAAGCGGUUUUCUUCGCAGACCGAUGACAACUCCACGGCUUUGGAAAUCAUAGCUCUGGAGCUGGCAGACACGGCGGUGUAUUACUGCGCCCUGAGGGACGCACAGGAAGAACAUGCCACUGGGGAGACGUGCAAAAACCGCCUCUGCCAUCCCAGGCGCUUUUGA